AAAAAAUCUCAGCUUUUCUUUCUUAUGGCACAUGAAGUUUCUUUAACUCUCCUGAUCUCUCCUGUCAUACCUUUUCUUCUUCAUUUUUAGCAGCUCAAACUCGCUUAGAUCGAUUUUCCUGAUGAUCACUGUGAUCAGAUCAUGCUCUGCUCUGCUCUGCAUUAAUGCAGUUUGUUCUUGUUUCAAGCUGGAUUUUUCCCGCGGGAACAGGAGACCAACCACAUCCUUAUGAGCAGGCGACGAAAGGGUAACAUCUACUCUUUAUCUGCUCCUUACGAAGCACACUUCUCAACUCACUUUCGAAUUGUUUCUUAAAAUGUGUAGCAUCAGUGUUUGGGACAUCCUCAUGCCUCUGCUAUCCAAAUCCGUAAAUCCAAAGGACUUAUUCAAAUUUCUAGCACCAAUAAAACAUUGUCUAUUUGUGAAAGUUGUCAGUUAGGCAAACUAAGCAAAUUUCCUUUUUUACCCUCUACUAGUUUAACUCAUGCUAUUUUUUAUAAAAAUUAUUGUGAUUUAUGGGGUCCUGCCCCUAUUGUUUCUGUUGGUAAAUUUUCUUACUAUGCCUACUUGAUU